AAACUCAAAGGAAUUGACGGGGACCCGCACAAGCGGUGGAUGAUGUGGUUUAAUUCGAUGCAACGCGAAAAACCUUACCCACCUUUGACAUGGCAGGAAUCCUAAAGAGAUUUGGGAGUGCUCGAAAGAGAACCUGCACACAGGUGCUGCAUGGCUGUCGUCAGCUCGUGUCGUGAGAUGUUGGGUUAAGUCCCGCAACGAGCGCAACCCUUGCCAUUAGUUGCUACGAAAGGGCACUCUAAUGGGACUGCCGGUGACAAACCGGAGGAAGGUGGGGAUGACGUCAAGUCCUCAUGGCCCUUAUAGGUGGGGCUACACACGUCAUACAAUGGCCGGUACAGAGGGUAGCCAACCCGCGAGGGGGAGCCAAUCCCACAAAGCCGGUCGUAGUCCGGAUCGCAGUCUGCAACUCGACUGCGUGAAGUCGGAAUCGCUAGUAAUCGCGGAUCAGCAUGUCGCGGUGAAUACGUUCCCGGGUCUUGUACACACCGCCCGUCACACCAUGGGAGCGGGUUCUGCCAGAAGUAGUUAGCCUAACCGCAAGGAGGGCGAUUACCACGGCAGGGUUCGUGACUGGGGUGAAGUCGUAACAAGGUAGCCGUAUCGGAAGGUGCGGCUGGAUCACCUCCUUUCUG
rnacentral:rRNA from 1 species